AGAUUAUUCACCACUCUUAAUGCACCCUAAAGAUAUACAGAGCUCAGAUUCGGUUGGGAUCCAAAGGAUUAACACUAUUAUAUGGGAUGCUACCUUGUACCGAGCUGCCUCUUCUCAAACAUUUGGAGCACUGGAGUAUGUGUAUGUGCGGUGGAGAGAUUGAAAGACAGAAAGAAAACAGACGUUCCGUGGGAUUUGAUUCACUUGACAAUGGAAGGUGGAUGGCCGGAUCACUGAUCUGCGGAUGCCUCGGAGGAGUGAGUAACUCGCAGCCCCAGCUCAUUUCUCCUAGCCUGAC